GUGGAUGGGAGAAUGCCCAUGUAUUUGUGUAUGUAUAAACAAGAUAAAAUGGCUACUUCACUCCUACUGAAACCAAACCGAAAGAGCAGUUCACCUGCCUCUAUUGCUGUCCCAGAAGUGUGCCAUGGAUACUGCAAACAGAUUGCAUAUAGUGUCUAUCAUUCCUGGAGUGUCUUAUUACCCAUGCUUCAGAUAUGCAGUGUAAAGAUUCAGGACUAUCUCUGCUUCUGCCACUGGCUGCUGUCUCAGCCUCCUCAUUUGAAAGAAAAGACUGCUUCUCUGUGGCUGUUUUUCUUUUCUGCUGAGUCAUUCUGUCAGCACAUAAAUUCCUACUGGAUAUGA
rnacentral:lncRNA from 1 species